rnacentral:rRNA from 1 species
UACGGGAGGCAGCAGUGAGGAAUAUUGGUCAAUGGGCGCAAGCCUGAACCAGCCAUGCCGCGUGCAGGAUGAAGCAUCUAUGGUGCGUAAACUGCUUUUGUACGAGAAGAAACACUCCUACGUGUAGGAGCUUGGCGGUAUCGUAAGAAUAAGGACCGGCUAACUCCGUGCCAGCAGCCGCGGUAAUACGGAGGGUCCAAGCGUUAUCCGGAAUCAUUGGGUUUAAAGGGUCCGUAGGCGGUUUUGUAAGUCAGUGGUGAAAGCCCAUCGCUCAACGGUGGAACGGCCAUUGAUACUGCAAGACUUGAAUUAUUGGGAAGUAACUAGAAUAUGUAGUGUAGCGGUGAAAUGCUUAGAGAUUACAUGGAAUACCAAUUGCGAAGGCAGGUUACUACCAAUAUAUUGACGCUGAUGGACGAAAGCGUGGGGAGCGAACAGGAUUAGAUACCCUGGUAGUCCACGCCGUAAACGAUGGAUACUAGCUGUUCGGAGCAAUCUGAGUGGCUAAGCGAAAGUGAUAAGUAUCCCACCUGGGGAGUACGUUCGCAAGAAUGAAACUCAAAGGAAUUGACGG